GACGAACGCUGGCGGCGUGCUUAACACAUGCAAGUGGAGCGACGAACCGGGGCUUGCCCCGGGGCAGAGCCGCGAACGGGUGAGUAACACGUGGGUAACCUGCCUCAAUGAUUGGGACAACCCGGGGAAACUCGGGCUAAUACCAAAUGUGUUCACUCCUUUUAAGGGGAGUGAGGAAAGGAAGCUUCGGCCUCCGCAUUGAGAUGGGCCCGCGGGCCCAUUAGCUUGUUGGUGAGGUAACGGCUCACCAAGGCUUCGAUGGUAGCUGGUCUGAGAGGACGAUCAGCCACACUGGGACUGAGACACGGCCCAGACUCCUACGGAGGCAGCAGUGGGGAAUCUUGCACAAUGCGCGAAAGCGUGAUGCAGCAACGCCGCGUGGGGGGAAGACGGGCCUUCGGGUUGUAAA
rnacentral:rRNA from 1 species